GAUGAACGCUGGCGGCGUGCCUAAUACAUGCAAGUCGAGCGAACAGACGAGGAGCUUGCUCCUCUGACGUUAGCGGCGGACGGGUGAGUAACACGUGGAUAACCUACCUAUAAGACUGGGAUAACUUCGGGAAACCGGAGCUAAUACCGGAUAAUAUAUUGAACCGCAUGGUUCAAUAGUGAAAGACGGUUUUGCUGUCACUGAUAGAUGGAUCCGCGCCGCAUUAGCUAGUUGGUAAGGUAACGGCUUACCAAGGCAACGAUGCGUAGCCGACCUGAGAGGGUGAUCGGCCACACUGGAACUGAGACACGGUCCAGACUCCUACGGGAGGCAGCAGUAGGGAAUCUUGCGCAAUGGGCGAAAGCCUCACGGAGCAACGCCGCGUGAGUGAUGAAGGUCUUCGGAUCGUAAAACUCUGUUAUUAGGGAAGAACAAAUGUGUAAGUAACUAUGCACGUCUUGACGGUACCUAAUCAGAAAGCCACGGCUAACUACGUG
rnacentral:rRNA from 1 species